AUUUGUCCCUUAAAUAGGAACUAGUAUGAAGGAUUUAACAAAGAAUUUCCUGUCUUAAUUGUAAAUUUUAAUUUAACAUUAAAGUUAAAAGGCUUUAUUUUCUAAGGGGACGACAAGACCCUAUAAAACUUCACCUUUAAAAAAUUCUCAACCUAAGAAAUUAAAAAUUAAUAAAAGGUUUCACUGGGGCGGUGAGACUUAACCAAAACACUUCUUAUUAUAACAAUAUUAAUGAUUAUUAUAAUCUUAAAUUUAAAACAAAUAACAAGUUACUUUAGGGAUAACAGCACCAUAUCUUUUAAGAGCUCGCAUCGCCAAAGAUGUUUGUGACCUCGAUGUUGAAUUGAAGAACCACCACGGGGCAAC
rnacentral:rRNA from 1 species